rnacentral:rRNA from 1 species
AAUCAACGCUGGCGGCGUGCCUAACACAUGCAAGUCGAACGCGAAAGCCCCGCAAGGGGCAAGUAGAGUGGCAAACGGGUGAGUAACACGUGGGUGACCUGCCUUAGAGUGGGGGAUAACGUCCCGAAAGGGACGCUAAUACCGCAUAACAUCCUGCCUUUGAAGAGGUGGAGAUCAAAGCCGGGGACCGCAAGGCCUGGCGCUCAAAGAGGGGCCCGCGCCUGAUUAGCUAGUUGGUGAGGUAAUGGCUCACCAAGGCAACGAUCAGUAUCCGGCCUGAGAGGGCGGACGGACACACUGGGACUGAGACACGGCCCCAGACUCCUACGGGAGGCAGCAGUGGGGAAUUUUGGACAAUGGGCGCAAGCCUGAUCCAGCCAUGCCGCGUGCGGGAAGAAGGCCUGGUUGUAA